CUUUACUGCAGCUUCACAGUGGCAUUAGGAAAUGGAUGUGUAGGAUAGGCGGGAGCCUAUGAAGUUCGGGCGUCAGCUCGGAUGGAGGCACCGGUGAAAUACCGCCCUUACGUUUUCUGAUGUCUAACUUCGUCCCGUAAUCCGGGAUAAGGACCCUGUGUGGCGGGCAGUUUGACUGGGGCGGUCGCCUCCCAAAGAGUAACGGAGGCGCGCGAUGGUGGGCUCAAGCUGGUCGGAAAUCAGCUUUCGAGUGCAAUGGCAUAAGCCCGCCUGACUGCGAGACCGACAGGUCGAGCAGAGACGAAAGUCGGCCAUAGUGAUCCGGUGGUUCCACGUGGAAGGGCCAUCGCUCAACGGAUAAAAGGUA
rnacentral:rRNA from 1 species